CCUACGGGAGGCAGCAGUGGGGGAUAUUGCACAAUGGGGGGAACCCUGAUGCAGCGACGCCGCGUGGGUGAAGACGCCCCUCGGCGCGUAAAGCCCUGUCAGCAGGGAAGAAAAUGACGGUACCUGAAAAAGAAGCCCCGGGUAACUACGUGCCACCACCCGCGGUAAGACGUAGGGGGCAAGCGUUAUCCGGAUUUACUGGGUGUAAAGGGGGCGCAGACGGCGAUGCAAGCCAGGAGUGAAAGCCCGGGGCCCAACCCCGGGACUGCUGUUGGAACUGCGUGGCUGGAGUGCAGGAGGGGCAGGCGGAAUUCCUGGUGUAGCGGUGAAAUGCGUAGAUAUCAGGAGGAACACCGGUGGCGAAGGCGGCCUGCUGGACUGCAACUGACGUUGAGGCCCGAAAGCGUGGGGAGCGAACAGGAUUAGAUACCCGAGUAGUC
rnacentral:rRNA from 1 species